rnacentral:rRNA from 1 species
AUUGGAGGGCAAGUCUGGUGCCAGCAGCCGCGGUAAUUCCAGCUCCAAUAGCGUAUAUUAAAGUUGUUGCAGUUAAAAAGCUCGUAGUUGGAUUUCUGUUAAUAAUUUAUAUAUAAUAUUUUUAAUAUUUAUAUAAUAUUAACAUAAUUCAUAUUACUAAUUUUUAUUAGUAUAUGAAAUUUUACUUUGAGAAAAUUAGAGUGCUUAAAGCAGGCAUAUGCCUUGAAUACUCCAGCAUGGAAUAAUAUAAAAGAUUUUUAUCUUUUUUAUUGGUUCUAAGAUAAAAAUAAUGAUUAAUAGGGACAGUUGGGGGCAUUUGUAUUUAACAGUCAGAGGUGAAAUUCUUAGAUUUGUUAAAGACAAACUAGUGCGAAAGCAUUUGCCAAGGAUGUUUUCAUUAAUCAAGAACGAAAGUUAGGGGAUCGAAGACGAUCAGAUACCGUCGUAGUCUUAACCAUAAACUAUGCCAACUAGAGAUUGGAGGUUGUUCCUUACUC